GACGAACGCUGGCGGCGUGCUUAACACAUGCAAGUCGAACGGAAAGGCCCUUCGGGGUACUCGAGUGGCGAACGGGUGAGUAACACGUGGGUGAUCUGCCCUGCACUUUGGGAUAAGCCUGGGAAACUGGGUCUAAUACCGAAUAGGACCACGCGCUUCAUGGUGUGUGGUGGAAAGCUUUUGCGGUGUGGGAUGGGCCCGCGGCCUAUCAGCUUGUUGGUGGGGUAAUGGCCUACCAAGGCGACGACGGGUAGCCGGCCUGAGAGGGUGACCGGCCACACUGGGACUGAGAUACGGCCCAGACUCCUACGGGAGGCAGCAGUGGGGAAUAUUGCACAAUGGGCGCAAGCCUGAUGCAGCGACGCCGCGUGAGGGAUGACGGCCUUCGGGUUGUAAACCUCUUUCAAUAGGGACGAAGCGCAAGUGACGGUACCUAUAGAAGAGGCACCGGCCAACUACGUG
rnacentral:rRNA from 1 species